UUCAGAUUGUUUUAAGUGAUAAUUUAACAAUAUUUUUCCAAAUAAAUGGAAAGAAACUUUUAUUUAUAUCAAAUAAUUGAGUGUCUCGACUGUGUGACAUUAUGUCUUGUGUGGUAUGGGGCUGCAGCUCACAUUCAGGAAGAAAAGAAAAUAGCCAACAACUUCUGUCGUUUCAUCGAUAUUAAAUCCAAAAGUGUCGACUGGAUUUACAUGAAAAGUCAGUUCAAGAAGACGAGAUGAAAAAUUUAAAAGAAAAGCUGAACAAGUCCCGCCUCAAGAUCAAACGACUUAAUGAAAAAAAAAAAAACAAUGUGACAGGGUGUCACAAAGACAGUUUCUAAGCAAAUUGACACUGUUUAGAAAUUAAUAAAUUUGUAUUUAUUGUAAAUAUAAUGUACAUAAUUAAUAACGUGUGAAAUAAAUACUUGCUAAUGAACAGAUUUACGAUCUAAUUUAUAUUUCAUUUUACCUCCUUUUCUUAUUUACUCCUACUCCAACACUCCAGGUUGAUACGAACUGCGCCCAAUAAAGAAUGUAAUGAAUGUUAUAGAUUUGUGUAAGCGACUUAGAUAAAUCUUGACUAAACCUUCCUUUACAAAUACAAAUAUACUUUAUUGCACACAACAUACAAUACUUACAAGUUUUGCACGAAAGAUACAGUACACCACCUACCUACCUUUUACUUUCCCUUUCUGUUCUCUUAUGAAUACUUGUAUGCCGUAUUUUUUUAAGUAUAAUGCUAUAUCUAGUAGGUACGAGUAUGGUAAUCCUAGUAUUGAAACAGCUU
rnacentral:lncRNA from 1 species